AUGGACGGGCUCCUCCAUUGGGAUUUCAACCCCGGCCUCAAGGUCGAGGAACAGGUUUGUCGACGGUUCAAAUCUUCGGUCCAUUUCUCCCCUUCACCUAUCUCCAAGGAGUUUUUCUUGGUGGUCACCUUCUCUUUUGCCUCCUUUCCCCUAUCUUGUGACUCGGUUGGUUUGGCACUCCAAUGUUGCAUUGGA
rnacentral:rRNA from 1 species